GAUGAACGCUGGCGGCGUGCCUAAUACAUGCCAGUCGAGCGAACGGACGAGAAGCUUGCUUCUCUGAUGUUAGCGGCGGACGGGUGAGUAACACGUGGAUAACCUACCUAUAAGACUGGGAUAACUUCGGGAAACCGGAGCUAAUACCGGAUAAUAUUUUGAACCGCAUGGUUCAAAAGUGAAAGACGGUCUUGCUGUCACUUAUAGAUGGAUCCGCGCUGCAUUAGCUAGUUGGUAAGGUAACGGCUUACCAAGGCAACGAUGCAUAGCCGACCUGAGAGGGUGAUCGGCCACACUGGAACGGAGACACGGUCCAGGCUCCUGCGGGAGGCAGCAGUAGGGAAUCUUCCGCAAUGGGCGAAAGCCUGACGGAGCAACGCCGCGUGAGUGAUGAAGGUCUUCGGAUCGUAAAACUCUGUUAUUAGGGAAGAACAUAUGUGUAAGUAACUGUGCACAUCUUGACGGUACCUAAUCAGAAAGCCACGGCUAACUACGUG
rnacentral:rRNA from 1 species